rnacentral:rRNA from 1 species
UACGAAGGGGGCUAGCGUUGUUCGGAAUUACUGGGCGUAAAGCGCACGUAGGCGGAUUUGUAAGUCAGGGGUGAAAUCCCGGGGCUCAACCUCGGAACUGCCUUUGAUACUGCAAGUCUUGAGUCCGAUAGAGGUGAGUGGAAUUCCUAGUGUAGAGGUGAAAUUCGUAGAUAUCGGGAGGAACACCAGUGGCGAAGGCGGUUGCCUGGAGCUUUGCUGACGCUGAUGCGCGAAAGCGUGGGGAGCGAUCCGG